rfam:Ovis aries breed Texel chromosome 3, whole genome shotgun sequence.
UCCCUCAUGGUCCAGUGGUUAAGAUUUUGCAAUCCCGAUGCAGAGGGCCUGGGUUCAAUCCUGGUUAGAGAA